AUAUUGUUUCGCAAUAAGCUUCUUUACAACCCCUCAUCUUCCAUUCUACUCCUUUUUGUAUGAAUCGCUGUCAUGCACCAGUGAGGUGGUACACAAUCAGUUAUCGAAUCAUUUGAUUGAUAUUAAUCAUGUGAUCGAAUAUGGCUUUGGCAGUUAGGUUCUACAGUUGUUACCCCAUUGCAACAUCUAAAGGUUUCCCCUUCAGCCUAAUUGUUAACCAUCCAUUUUGCUGCCCAUGUUUUUUUUUUUUUUAAACAGCAGCUUUGUUGAUCAGCAAUUUCAAUGGCACUUACUGUGAUGUACUGCAUACUACGUUAACAGUUGUGGAUCACAUUGUUUUAUCUCAAGAUGAAACGACGCAAGCAUUUCAUAAUCACAGUUAUUGGUGUCAUCGUAUCCCUGAAAGUAAUGCCCACCAAAAAUCAGUUGCGCACACUAAAAGCAUUGCAGUGUUUUAGAUAAUUGUAAAAACAGCAACACUGAAAGGGACUUUUCAUGUAUGCAAGAACCCACAAAUUAUAUGUAACUGAUGAAGAUGACAGUGAUGCAUUUCUUUUUGUCAUGCACUUGUGCACGCGCUUGUGACAAUUUCUUUUACUCAAUAUAACUUCAUGUUUCCAUUCGCAGCCCAUCUUACCCUCCAGCUCUCAAUCUUCAAAAUAGCGCACAAACAAAAAUGCAUUUGGAUCGUGGGAUUGAAAACAAUCUACAGUAUUUAGAUACUUUAUUACAAACCCAAGCUCAUGUUUGAAAUGAAUUGACCAAGAUGAUAGUUAAUUUUAAAUAAAUUCAGACAUUAAAAGUUCCAGUUGGUUAGUUUAAAAAAAAAAUAGGAAAAUGUUUUUAAAAUUUAGUUUUGGUAAUUUCGUUGUUUUCGUUCAGAAUAGCGCAGCCAGGGAGGGUUUGCGCACGUGUCUGAUUACUUGGGAAAUUCAGCAACAGCGUAACAGUCUACAACACUGCGUCAACCUUUUAAGUGCCAUGCACACUGCACAAUAAGUGUGUUAAAUACAGCAAUGCCGAUAAUAUAUAACGAUACACCAUUUUAAAAUAUAUUAACUAUUUUUUAAACGGUUGAUUUGUUGGGGGGGGGACUAAAGGCUUUCUCCUAGGUUGUCGCUUUUGUCUGUGGACAAAGUGGGUACUUCACUCCAGCCAUCCCAAUGAGCAGAAUGAGAUCUGAGGGUCAGAGACUGCUAAGAUCAGACCACGCUGAUGCUUUUUGUUUUGUUUUGUUCCGUCAUCUGCCUCUCAAGUGUAUUUUCUGAUGUGCUUUUUUUAAAAUCAAAUGUAAAUAGUAUCAUGUGCUCUUCUGAACUUGAUUGGUUACCGCCUCAGCCGAUCAUAAAUACAGGUGUAUGCUGGAAAAUACUCCCCUUCUCUUGUGGCUGGCCAGUAUCUCCAUGAAAACCUGCUGUCAUCUUAUGGCUUACCUGUU